UACGUAGGGGGCAAGCGUUGUCCGGAUUUAUUGGGCGUAAAGAGCGUGUAGGCGGUUAGGUAGGUCCGUUGUGAAAACUCGAGGCUCAACCUCGAGACGCCGAUGGAAACCAUCUGACUAGAGUCCGGAAGAGGAGAGUGGAAUUCCUGGUGUAGCGGUGAAAUGCGCAGAUAUCUGGAGGAACACCGGUGGCGAAGGCGGCAUCCUGGACCGGUAUUGACACUGAAAAGCGAAAGCCAGGGGAGCAAACGGG
rnacentral:rRNA from 1 species